AAAAUCAGCUUCUUAAUUGCAGGUUUCAAAAAGCUCUCCCGCACGCUCCAACGCGCGCGCGGAGCGCGUGCUUCUCUUUCAUCUCCACCUGUUCACAGCUCUGCCCGCGCGCUUCGCUCCCUGCCGCUGCUGGUCAUGGCUGCGCGCGCGUGAGCAAAAUCGAAAGAGAGAGAGCUGAGCCUUUUACGCACAGAGUGCCGCGGAGUAGCCUCAUAUGACACCGCUGCAGCUCAGCGCAGGCUUCGGCUGGCCGCCCUCAGCCGCUGCUCAAUGAAGGGAUUAUCCGCUCCCUCGCCUCAUUUCGCAGAUGCUUUUGCACGGAUGCUCCCCCCCUCUAUCAACCGUCCCUGUCAGUGACUCCAUGUUCACCUCGCCAGGACUGCGGACGCUCACAAUCUAUGAUGCUGAGGGGGCUGAUCUGAGCGCAUUUUGGGAAUCAGUGGAGGCGCAGCUGGCCGUCUGGAGAAGUCUUUACGCCCGGAUCGGGUUGAACACUGUGGGGCGCGAAGUCAUGGUGUCCACGGCGCCGUGAGAACUUUACCUCCCCUCUUUCUCCCCUCCUGGCUUUUGGUUUUAGAUGUUCAUCAUUGGGGUCGUGCUUCCUCGGGAAAUUCUCCACCCGAUUUCCCCUUCAAUUAUGUUUACUUUUGCUGCUUUCUGCUACAUGCUGUCUCUGGUCCUCUGUGUUUCCCUUAUCUUCUUCGCAAUAUGGCAUAUAACAGCUUUUGAUGAGCUCCAGGCUGACUUUAAGGUGCCGAUCGAUCAAGGCAAUCCGCUCCAUGCGAGAGAGAGACUGCGAAACAUUGAGAGGAUCUGCAACCUACUAAGGAAGUUGGUGCUGCCAGAAUACUCCAUCCAUGGGCUGUUCUGCAUAAUGUUCCUGUGUGCCCAGGAGUGGCUGACUGUCGGCCUUAACAUCCCCCUCCUCUUCUACAACACAUGGAGCAGGUACUUCCAUUCCCCAACGGACACUAAGGAGCUCAUCUAUGACCCAGCAUCUGUGAUGAAUGGCGACACGCUCAAGUUCUGCCAAAAGGAGGCGUGGUGCAAGCUGUCCUUCUUUGUCCUGUCCUUCUUCUACUAUCUCUACUGUGUGUGGAACCUGGAAAUAUCCCUCUAUUAGAUCUUAACAGUGGAAUCACUUAAAGAGAGCAACGGUGGCAGCAGCAGCAACUGUCAGUAUGAUCUAUUCCUUGGUUACCUCAUAACAACUGCUUUCUUAGCAUCCUGGGACGAGUGCUGACGCCUCUAGACACGUUGGAUAUUGCGGACCAUGACGGUUUAGGAGCGAUAGUAGAACAUAAUAAAGGGAACUUAUAUUUUUUCUGUUUUUUUUUUUUUUCGUGGAGCCAAACAAACUCAGCUGGACCCGAAGCUUCUUUUCAGAAUUGCCCAGACCCAAACGACAUCACAUCUUUGACUGUAUAGGAAGAACUUUGAACUAAAUCUGUUGUUUACAGUUUGCUCUCAGCAGGACCCGAGUUAUUCACUGCCUGGCUACGUUUGUAAUACACACACAUAUAAAAACAUAUUUAUAUACAUAUAUAUACAAAGACACAUCCUCCUCUGCUGUGCCGCCAAGUUUGCUGCACACCGGCGCCAGCGGUAGCCUGGAGGACAUACGGCACAGUAGCGUUUGCACAGUUUGUCUCAGGCACAGCACAAUGAAGCACUGUCCAGACCAGUCGUCCUUCUCACCUCACCCACCGUAGCUUCUUCAGAGACCCCAGAGAAGGACACAGGAACAGCAAGCCAACGGAUCACACUGUUCAGAGAAAGAGGAGCGAGCUUGGGGAGGAUUGAGGCAUUGGAUUAAAUGGUUCUGUAUGCCUCCCCUCCACAGGAGAACACAAACACAGUCCUGGAACUGUGGGAUUUUCUUUUAAAACUUUGCAUUAAUGGCUUUUGUGACGUGUGCAUUUUGGUGUAUUCUUUAAUCAAAAGGCAUUUCUGUUUUGUUGACAGAGAAAGUUAUUCUACUUGGCAAAUGCCCCCUUAGUGUUGUCUUAGUGUUGUUCUUUUGUGGGAAAACUUCAAAUAAAAGAAAAAAUGGGAUCCUGUGGAAGAUUUUGUUUUAGAGAAACACAUGCUCUUUGCACAAAUGGUUAACUUGCUCUUGCACAAUCCUGGCAAUAUCUGCUUCAGACAGUAGAGAUGUUUUAUUAUAUUCUGGCUUCGCAGGUGAAGGUCUUCCAACAUGUAAAGUGCGCGGCCUUGUCUGAACACAGGGACAAAAUGUGAAUCUUUUCUAGCUCUCUUGGACCAAAAUGUUGUAUUUAAUCAUUUAAAUAUAUUAAUUCAUUGGUAUUCAUGAUAUGCUGAUGGCCUAAACAUUCUUUUUCCAAACUGACUUAAAAAAAAUAAGAAUAAUAUAAAAUCAGCUUCAGCAAAUGUUUCAGGGUUUAUGGGACGUUUUUAGGAUUCCUCUGAUAAACUGUCAGAUAGUCAUUCAAAUAACUUAAAGCAGCUGGAACCUGAAUCAGCGAGAAAAGGUGUUUGAUGCUGGAUCUCCAUGUAGCUCAGCCUUCAAGCCACCAGGCCGCUCUUCAGAUCUUCGCCCACCAUCUUUCACCUGCCAGGUGCUUCUAUGUGGUAGCGGCGCAGGAGGGAAUGGCCCCCUUCUUCUUUUCUCAUCUUAUAACUUGAGCAUUUUCUAUCUACUGUGUAUGUAUGUGACCAGAAAGGUUGAAUUUAGAUAUUGUUUAUGAAAUAAAGUAUUUUAAAAUCUAA